CUUGGAUUUGACGGCAGUUCGGCUUCGGCGACAGAAGAGGCGACAUCGGGAGCGACAUCAGUAGCAAAGCGGGUUCCUCAGAGCGACGAUGGAGAGAGAGAGAACGAUGACCAUUGCGCGAUGCAAGCAAAUCAGGACAUCAACGAGUCUCUCCAAAGAUCCACUCCUCUCCAUCCUGUUCCGGUAGAGAUGGAUCUGCAACACAUGAGACGUACAACUCCUUUUUUUGCGGAGGUCGCAUAUCUUCCAACGUCGGAGAUGCUGUCGCCGCAGUUAUGACCCCCUGGACUUCCCCUGUUCAUCAGGGGGAGUCCAGGGACCCGUCCCCUGGGACUGCGCGGCCUCCCACCGCCCCCGGGGUCCCAGGGGACCCAGUCCC
rnacentral:misc_RNA from 1 species